rnacentral:rRNA from 1 species
GAAAGAUGGUGAACUAUGCCUGAGGAGGGUGAAGCCAGAGGAAACUCUGGUGGAGGCUCGCAGCGGUUCUGACGUGCAAAUCGAUCGUCAAAUUUGGGCAUAGGGGCGAAAGACUAAUCGAACUAUCUAGUAGCUGGUUCCUGCCGAAGUUUCCCUCAGGAUAGCAGUAACGUAUUCAGUUUUAUGAGGUAAAGCGAAUGAUUAGAGGCAUGGGGGUUGAAACAACCUUCACCUAUUCUCAAACUUUAAAUAUGUAAGAAGCCCUUUGUUACUUGAUUGAACGCGGGCAUUUGAAUGAAACGUUAUUAGUGGGCCAUUUUUGGUAAGCAGA